GCCGGGGUGGUGAAACUGGUAUACACGAAGGACUUAAAAUCCUUUGACUGCAAAGUCGUGCGGGUUCGAGUCCCGCCCUCGGCA
rnacentral:tRNA from 1 species